rnacentral:rRNA from 1 species
UACGUAGGGGGCAAGCGUUGUCCGGAAUCAUUGGGCGUAAAGAGCGUGUAGGCGGCCUGAUAAGUCGGCUGUGAAAGUCAAGGGCUCAACCCUUGAAUGCCGGCCGAUACUGUCAGGCUAGAGUCCGGAAGAGGCGAGUGGAAUUCCUGGUGUAGCGGUGAAAUGCGCAGAUAUCAGGAGGAACACCGGUGGCGAAGGCGGGUCUCUGGGCAACAACUGACGCUGAGGAGCGAAAGCGUGGGGAGCGAACAGG